UUCAGCCAGACGACCAUCUGCCGCUUUGAGGCUCUGCAGCUCAGUUUCAAGAACAUGUGUAAGCUGCGGCCCCUGCUGCAGAAGUGGGUGGAGGAAGCUGAUAAUGAGAACCUUCAGGAGAUAUGCAAAGCGGAGACCCUGGUGCAGGCCCGCAAGAGGAAGCGAACUAGCAUCGAGAACCGCGUGCGGGGGAACCUGGAGAGCCUGUUUCUGCAGUGCCCGAAGCCCACCCUGCAGCAGAUCAGCCUCAUCGCCGAGCAGCUUGGGCUGGAGAAGGACGUGGUCCGAGUGUGGUUCUGUAACCGGCGCCAGAAGGGCAAACGAUCCAGCGUUGACUCCUCCCAGCGAGAGGAGUAUGAGGCUUCGGGCUCUCCUUUCCCAGGGGGGCCUGUAUCCUUUCCUCUGCCCCCAGGGCCCCAUUUUGGUACCCCAGGCUAUGGGAGUCCCC